rnacentral:lncRNA from 1 species
AGACUCGGACCUUUACAAGGAGAUUAACUUUGCCGGUCCGCCGGGCAAGAGGAAAGGAACUGCGGACACCAUUCAGGUGACUCAAGAGACCUGUUGCUGCAUAUGCCUGUCUCUUCAUUUAAAGCUUUUGUGGAUUUAUCUGGGUAUCUGCAGUUUUGGAAACCCCCUGUGUCUCAGGAAAACUACAUAAAAACUAUGGUUUACUUAGUGACUGUAACAUUUCUGCUCUGCCGGUUGGAGGACCAAAUUCACGUAGAUGUUCUUUUAGAUGGAGGUCACAACCAACUCUUGCAGCAGAAAAUGACUUUGCUAUUUGCUCCUCUUUUGCAUGAUUCUCAACCUGAAGCAAAAUGACGCUGCCCCACUUCUUGGUGGCUAAGUGUUGUCUAAAUGUUAGGGUAGGGUGGAGAACCUGCUCUAGACCGGCUCUUCAUUCCUUUGCUAUUCACGCCUUGGGGCAAUUGGACUGACUGAGCAGCCUGAACCUGAUAUAAUUCAAGCUACACAGUGAAGGUGGACAGAGAAAGAAGAGGAGGAAGGCUCAACAGCCCUGAGCUGACUGCACCAGGAUUCCAAUGGACUCCAAAGAGCUCUAUCUGGAGAUAUCCCUCAGGAGUUGGUAGUAUUUUUCCAUAUCUGCUGCCUCCUGUUUGAAAGCCCAUGACCCUUCAAUAGUACCCCCAUGUAUGACCUGAAGUCACCCAAGAGCCAGGAAAUCCCUUGUCAUCCCAGCCUUGGUAAGUUUUGGUUGCCAUCAGCCAUGUCACA